rnacentral:snoRNA from 1 species
UGAUGGUUGGUAGUUCCCUGUGAUGUCUAUAGAAAGUGACAUUAUAGUUUUCCUCCAUCAUAAAGCAAACAUACACAUGAACUUCUUCACCCUCUAACACAAACUGAGCAGAAAUGCUAGUUCUCUGUUGAGUUGGAGUGUUUUGCAUGUUCAUACAUUU